CGUUCAUCACUGGAGGACUGCUGCUCGUCCUCCUUCUCACGGAAAUAUUCCUCCACACACUGUUCUUCAAACUCGUAGAGACUUUUCAGCUCCUCUGGAUUCAGCCUAAGCUCUGCCUGUUGAAGAGGAUGUAGAGGUGGCUGAAAAUGAUUAGAGGUGGUGGCAGGAUGGGACGGUCAUGGAACGUCAUGAUCAGCUGGUAUCUCUGGAACUUCCACACCUGGUUGGAAAUGGACUUGACCUCAAAGAAAGUGUUGCUGUGGGACAUGAAACCAAGACCAGGCCCCAGAUACUUGUUGACUCCAAAGAUGUCCAAUAUGCGAAUGUACCAGAAGAUGAUGUCAAUACAGUAGAUGACUCUGCCAUAGCCCAUAUAAGGUUCAUUCUGCAGCCGCAGCAUUAGCCCAAGAAGGAAGGUAGAAAUGGCAGCCAGGUACAUGAUAGGAUGCAUCAUCUCCAAUACGGAAAUCAAGCAGUAGAAUCAGAGGAGGAAAGAUGAUCCCCAGAAUAACCUAGAGGAGAAAAUGAUCAUAGUUUUUACAAGAUACACAUUCAGUGUGUUUGCAGGGCCAAGUUUCUGCGGAGACAAGCGGAGAAGAGAGGAGAAGGAAGAAGUGUGCCAGGCCCACCGUGUUGUAUAACUCCUCCAGUCUGGGAAUGGUGAGGAAGUGGUGAAUAUUGACACCAUUCUCAAGGAGCAGUUUGACAAAGUCCACUCUGUCCAGCACCAGAGCAUCCAUCAUAGCCUGCUCCAGAGAGUUCACCUGAGAGAAAGGUCUGUUUCCUCCGGAGGUUCAGGCUUUGCCUUUCCUUUCCCCUUCCCCUUCUUUCCUCGGGUUUUGUUGCGAGGAGCGCAGGCAGGACUCUUUUGCUUCUCCUGGGUUGCAGCUACAGUGGUUGUAGUGUUGGCGAUGGCACUGGCAGGCUUGCCAAGCAGAAAUAAGGCCAGAGCCAAGCUGAGCUGGUCAGCUGCUGAAGCAUUUGUGCCUAAAGCAAAAGAAAAGAAAUGUCUUCAGCCGGUGAGGAGGUGCAUCAAGGUGGCUGCAAAACUGUAUUUUUUUGGUUUAUAUAAUGCUCUCAUGGUUUCUGCAAACAAGUUAUUAUUUGAUGAGGUCUGCCCAUUUUUACAACCUUUCUACACAGUACAACUGGUUGAUAUACCCGUUCAUGUACAUUAUUGCAGAUACUAUGUUCUUUGCAUUAAGCUUAUUACAUUUUGCAUGUUAUUAAUUUUUCACUACUUAUACAUACUGUUAUAUCCUACUUGAUUCUUUUUUACUACUAAUACUCUUAAUGAGUUGAACUGCAACAGUACUGCUGUUGCUCUUCAUUAUUUAAUACAAACUCAUCCUUCCCUUCAUACAUAUAUAAACACAACUAUAUUUAACUAUAUUGUUUAAGACUGCAAUGACAGGAUUUCCCCCAACAGAUUCAUCUCAUUUAGUGUUAAUCCAAAAUAGUCAUCUGAUAAUGACUUGGCUGAGUAGAUAAAAUCACUAAGUAAUGUUUUGCUCAAUCAGUAGAUACAACAGAUUUUAAAAAUACACAAUGUUCAUUUUUAAAACAAUUUAGUUGCUUUAUUUUUGCAUUUGCAUUAAAGUAUUUGUUUGCAUGAAGACAAUUUGACUAUGAAAAGUGUAUGUACAAAUGUUACAAAUACUUUUAACUAGGUAGGUUUUAAAAUAUCACUAUCUUGUUGUAUUUUCAAAAAAGGUCCAAGGCAUAGGGUGGUUGUUUCUGUCUGUUUCUGUCUGUUUCAGUCUUGGCGGUUUUCCACCUCAGUACUAUCAUGCAUCUUUAAGCACCCAGAACUCACAGUGCUGCCUGUUCACACAUUCACCACAUCUGAAUUCACUUUCUAGGAUCUAUAAUUUGUCCCACAUCUCUUGCCAUGCUGUAAAAUUUCACAAGUUCUGUCAUAAAAAUUACAAAAUUAAGUUUCUAAAAAGAGUUGCAGUUACAGAAUGUCGAUUCACUUACACAGAAUGUUCUGUCCGAGCUGCAG